CAUUCUUUCAACAAAUAUUUACCAAAUGCCAGAUCCAGGUGCAAAUCCCAAUUCCAUUAAUUACUAGUAAUGUCGCCUUGUGAAAACUGCUUAGAAAUCCUGAAUCUCAGUUUCCUCCAUCAGUAAAAUGGAAUCAUAAAAUCUACUACCUAGUGCUGUUUGAAGUGUAAUGAGAUACUACAUAUAAAUUCCUAGGAUGGGACAGGCACGUAGACAUCCUUAACACAUAUUGGAUUCUUCACUCCUCCUCCUAGAACGUCAGCUCAGCCCAGGUGUCCAGCCCAGAUCUGUGAUCAUGCAAUUUGCCCUCCACUGCCUGCCAGCUCAACCCAGCUAAGAUCUUUAGAGCCCCAACCCCUGAAGGCCCAUUAUGCCAUCUACCUCCAACAUAUGUAAAUCAAAAGAAUAACAUCACCAAUUCAUAAAAUAAAUGUUGGUGCUACUGGUCUCGAACACCUGACCUCAAGUGAUCCGCGCCUGCCUUGGCCUCCCAAAGUGCUGGGAUUAUAGGUGUAAACCACCGUGCCUGGCCUAAAUGUUGGUGUUUUGAUGUGCCAUGCAACUUACACAUGUGCUGA
rnacentral:lncRNA from 10 species